GACGAACGCUGGCGGCGUGCUUAACACAUGCAAGUCGAACGGAAAGGCCCUGCGUUUUUGGUGUUCUCGAGUGGCGAACGGGUGAGGAACACGUGAGUAACCUGCCCUUGUCUUUGGUAUAACUUCAGGAAACUGGGGCUAAUACCGUAUAGGAUCUCCUGCUGCAUGGUGGGGGUUGGAAAUUUUAGGCUGGUGGGGCUGGACGCGCGGCUGAUCAGCUUGUUGGUGGGGGAGGUGCUUACCAAGGCUUUGGAGGGUCGCCCGCAUGAGAGGGUGACCGGGCACAUUGGGACUGCGAUACGGACCAGACUCCUACGGGAGGCAGCAGUGGCGAAUAUUGCCCAAUGGGAGCACGCCUGAUGAAGAAACGCCGGGUGCGGGAUGACGGCCUUCGGGUUGUAAAAAGCUUCAGCCUGUGACGAAGCGUGAGUGACGGUAAUGGGUAAAGAAGCACCGGCUAACUACGUG
rnacentral:rRNA from 1 species